CCGUCUAAGUUUCUGACGAUACUGUGGCAGCAUGUCUUCUCUGCAGACCUCGGAGCUAAGACUGCAGAAGUCUUGUACGAGGUAGACUUGAUCUUUUUCGCAGUUGAGAUUCGACUUCGAAAAGCAAGAGCAUGUGUCAAAGGAGGCCAAGGCGUCCAAGACAAGGUUGGUCUUUUUCUCUUUUCCCGACUUAAGACGAUGGGACUGAGCUUGAGAAGAGAGGUCGUACCGUCGUUUGCACGAAUCCUUCUUCACACGUCCCUGGGACGUCAAAUGCUGAGACAGGUGCUGCGCUCGGAGAUCGGACAUUGCGUGGCAUGACACGACCAAGCUCGGGAUCCCAUGGAGGGUUUCAUGGAUGCCGAAAUGGAUCACAAGUUCGAGAAGCUUAUAGUAUCCUCUCCCGCAUGAAGGAAAUUAUGGGUGAUAAGUUUUGACUUGAGCUUCUCUAUGACUACAGUGAUCACUUCUUUUAUCAGACUCUAAUACGCUUCGCCAAGAGCAAAAGGUAUAAUUUGACCCGCAGUCUUGAGACAGUGCCGUGGUUUAGGUGAAUCUAACUUGACAUUAUUGGUUGUUGUUAUGUACCGAUCCGGUGUUGCGAGAAGGAACCUGGAACCAGAGCAAAGGCAUAUUAAAACACGAUUCCGGGCAUAGCUGACAUUGUCACCAGAGUAGCGCUUGGACGAUUUGUCAUUUUCGUUUGUACAUCAUCACGCAAGUCAAAGUCAAGUCAAAGUCAAAGUCAUUUGAUCAUAUUCUCUUGAUAAAUGCUUUAGAGCUCUUUCAAGACGAUCACAUCAUCUUGUGAAAGGUACGCACGGACAUGAAAGAAUGCCGCUUCGAUUCGGCCGUCACGUCGUAACAGGAAGAGCCGACGCUUCGAUUAAGCUGCAUUUGGUCUUUUUUAGUGUUCAUCUUUUUUCCUCAUCUUGACCUGCUCGUUCGGACGAGGACGAUGCACCAGAGUCUUCCACCUUGUUUAUUUAAUCUCAGGACAUCUCUCGAUUUCACUCAAGCACUUGCCGAGCUGUCAAAGUGAUUCAAGUAAGCUGGUUUUCGUGGAACUUGGACAGUGGUUUUCCUUUUCAGGAUGGGGAGUUUUUUCUUGCUGGUAAGGAAGUUCUAAGUUCAUGCUAAUAGGAUACACGCUUCAGUGGUAUGGAAGCAUGGUGCUCUCAACCAGGUGCGCUAUGCUUGAUAUUUCUGUGUUACAGCAAGCAAGUUCGGGAUGGAAAAUUUUCAGAUG